rfam:Delta proteobacterium ML8_D scaffold_29, whole genome shotgun sequence.
CCUACUGUAUCGCCAGUAGUUUUCUACCUCGGCAUGCAUUGCUGGUAACGGCUUUGUGUGAAGCCCGGGAGACAAUGAAGCCCUCAGCCUUUGGCUGGGAGAGAGCCCCGUGAGGGGAACUCAACUCUGGAAGCAUCAUCUGGAUGGGAGC